CACUUGGUUUCUCCUGAGGGGCGUGUCUAUAGAACUGAAGACUUCAGAAAGCACUGUAUCCCAGCAUGCAUCUCUGCUCACUCAGACCACACCCCCAUGAGUAGGAUGCAACGCUCUAGUGAUGGAGAUGUAGAGUUUUAUAAGUAACGAGGGAGCAGACGAAGGUGAUUAGAACACAAUGGCAUGUCAAGUCUGUAAAUCUUUAAACCAUGAGGAUGGUUGGAUAGUUCAGGAAUUGGGCUUCUUUUUAUUAUGGGCAGUCCUUUCGCUCAGAUGCCAACUUCUCACUGGACCUGUAAAUGUGUUGGCUGGCUGGCAUGAUUUGCUGUUGGUGAUGAGUCGGUCAGGGUGACGUUGCAGGGCUAUGGUCGGCUCUCUGUGAGCUCAACGUUUAGAUUUGCUCCGUAUGGUUUGUACCCUGAAUAAUCUAGAUAAUUAUAAAAUGUAGACACGGUUUUGUAUUGAAUUAUUUUAGCUUUAAAGUUGUUGUGGGACGUACAUGGUAGUUUUGGUUCUUCUUACGUUUUUGAGUGAUAACUUGUACACACUGGGUGCAUAAUAAUGUAAAGGUACACUGAAUAGUAGUAAUGACCAAGAGCAACAAACAGAUCUCCUCAAGGUAAGUCUGUUGGCUGUGUUUUAAUGAAGAUCAUCGCUGGACUUCAGGAUCUUCCUCCGUUCAGCUCAAGGUGAGGCGCUGGUUCUGUUUUUUCUUUGGUUGGUUCCGGCCGGAAUGUUCGGAUUCCGGUCGGACGGUUUGUGCUUCCCGCCGUGGAAGGUUCUGAGUGCGGUCACUUGAUUUAGUCCCAAUGGUUAGCAUAGAACGUUGUAGUCUUGACGACCAUAAGAAACCACCUGGCAGUUAGUUGGACGGGAGUCCCCUGAGGGAAUCUGGCAGAACGUUCUGGAUUGUAUUUGCGUAACCUCGAGCCGUUGCCAACGGAAACAAUUUUUUCAGUCGUUUCCAUCGGGAAUUGUUUCCCCGUAUCUUAAACAACUUAACUUUGAUAUUUAAUACAUACUGACAGACACGUACGUCGUACAAUAUGUUGAUAAUUUCCGAUGGUUGCGCCGUACUUUUAACCACAAUGACGUGACCGGACUCUCGCUGCGUACAAAACAGCGUUCUAUUUGGGGCCCAUUUUUGACAUCGGAGAAGGCUGAAAAUCAUUUCAAGGUGGAAGACAAUUUGACAUUUCUUCAACGGAACCCAGCACCUGAAUAUGGCUGAGUAUAUUUGAUUUAAUAUUGAUACUGCUUAGUGUUCUUCGUUACUUCAGCUUUUGUACGUUCUAAAAAUCUGCUGUCAUUAAUUGCCACAGAAGUUAAACCCUACCAAAUGGAAUGACGCUAAACAACGACUUUGGUGCAGGGUAACCAACUGGAUAAUAUCAAAGCUAAAAUAAUGGCCGUCCUUCCCACAUGUUACAGUAGAAGAUACUAUAGAACUGUACAAGGUUAAAAAGGUAACUUGUAGUUUCUCCCAAGGUGUCUGCCUCCUCACCCAGAGCAAGACCUCCACCUCCUCACCCAGAGCCAGACCUCCACCUCCUCAGGCAGAGCCAGACCUCCACCUCCUCACCCAGGGCCAGACCUCCGCCUCCUCACCCAGAGCCAGACCUCCACCUCCUGUCAGAAGUCCUCCAGAACAGCUGAAAGGCGAGGCUGAGAGGCUGGAGACCGGAGGCUUGUGGUGGCAGGAUGGACCGGAGACUGAGGCUGGAGACCAGGGGCCUGCAGCACCGGACCAGAGGACCAAGAAUCCAUGGCUGAAGGAGCUGGAGGAGCCGUGCUGAAGGAGCCGA